rnacentral:rRNA from 1 species
CCUACGGGAGGCAGCAGUGGGGGAUAUUGGGCAAUGGGCGCAAGCCUGACCCAGCAAUGCCGCGUGAAGGAAGAAGUCUUUCGGGUUGUAAACUUCUAUGACAGGGGAAGAGCAGAUGACGGUACCUUGAAAACAAGCCACGGCUAAAUACGUGCCAGCAGCCGCGGUAAUACGUAGGUUGCAAGCGUUAUCCGGAUUUACUGGGUGUAAAGGGUGCGUAGCCGGGAGUGCAAGUCAGCUGUGAAAUCCUGUGGCUUAACGACCGAACUGCAUUUGAAACUGUUGGUCUUGAGUAUGGGAGAGGCAGGCGGAAUUCUUGGUGUAGCGGUAAAAUGCGUAGAUAUAAGGAGGAAUACCCGUGGCGAAGGCGAUCUACUGGACCACAACUGACGCUGAGGCACGAAAGCGUGGGGAGCAAACAGGAUUAGAUACCCUAGUAGUC